rnacentral:rRNA from 1 species
UACGUAGGGGGCAAGCGUUGUUCGGAUUCAUUGGGCGUAAAGGGUGCGUAGGCGGCGCGGUAAGUCGGGUGUGAAAUCUCGGAGCUUAACUCCGAAACUGCAUUCGAUACUGCCGUGCUUGAGGACUGGAGAGGAGACUGGAAUUUACGGUGUAGCGGUGAAAUGCGCAGAUAUCAGGAGGAACACCGGUGGCGAAGGCGGCUCUCUGGUACGUGACUGACGCUGAGACGCGAAAGCGUGGGGAGCGAACAGG